GGCCUUGACAUACUAAGAACUUUCCAGAGAUGGAUUGGUGCCUUCGGGAACUUAGAUACAGGUGCUGCAUGGCUGUCGUCAGCUCGUGUCGUGAGAUGUUGGGUUAAGUCCGCAACGAGCGCAACCUUUUCCUUAUUUGCCAGCGGGUCAUGCCGGGAACUUUAAGGAUACUGCCAGUGACAAACUGGAGGAAGGCGGGGACGACGUCAAGUCAUCAUGGCCCUUACGGCCAGGGCUACACACGUGCUACAAUGGUCGGUACAAAGGGUUGCUACCUCGCGAGAGGAUGCUAAUCUCAAAAAGCCGAUCGUAGUCCGGAUCGCAGUCUGCAACUCGACUGCGUGAAGUCGGAAUCGCUAGUAAUCGCGGAUCAGAAUGCCGCGGUGAAUACGUUCCCGGGCCUUGUACACACCGCCCGUCACACCAUGGGAGUUUGUUGCACCAGAAGUAGGUAGUCUAACCGCAAGGAGGACGCUUACCACGGUGUGGCCGAUGACCGGGGUGAAGUCGUAACAAGGUAGGCGUAGAUGA
rnacentral:rRNA from 1 species